CCCCCCCCCGUCCUUCUCCUGCCUUCCCUCAUCAGUUCGCUCCCCAGAGCUUCUUUAAGGAUCCCUGGGUACCGGAUGCAGCGUCAAGCCCGGCACAGCGCUCCACAGUUGGCAGCCCCAGUGGCCUGGGCAGCUCCGAGAGGGAGUAACCGCUGUAGAAAUAGGAGAAGAGAGCGGUUCGCAAAGCUUGGGGUCUGAAAGGGAGCUCACAUUUAUAGUUCCUGCGGCCUGGAGCCAGGCGCUGCUGAUGCACGCUUUAUCGUCCUAGUAACAAUCCCGAAUUGGAAACCCUGUCUUCAGAGUGAGACACGGGCGGGCGCGAGGAGGUGAAGCGGCUUGUCUGAACUCCGUGGCUGAGCCGGGAUUCAAACCCAGGGCUGCAGGGGUCUCGGCCAGAUACAUUCGCCUUAGAGCACCAAGGAACCUGAGUACCGUCUCCGCCCCUCCGUGGGCGAGACGCUUGACCUUGUGAGUCUCGGAUUCCUUCCUCACCUGUAGAAUCAGAGAAUGAAGAUUUAAUUUAAUCUGGAUGUGUUCCGACUAAAUGAGGAAAUAGGAGAAAAGUGCUUUUGACAGAUAGUGAGCGUGGUUCAUGUCCCAGGCUUUGCAUGGGCAAUGAUAGAUGUACCGAGGACAAGCUUAAAUCAUCCUUUCUCUAGCCUUGGCGUUUGGGAAACAGGGGGAAUCCUGUGUUUUCCUGAAAGGGGCCAGUCCACAGCGCGGCGUAUGGAGGGCAAGGCUUAGAGCUAAGGCUGUGGAGGGGAGAGGGGAGGAUGCUGAGCCUGAUUCAUCUUUGCUGAGGAAGAACCCGGAGCAGCAGGAUGAGACAGAAGGAGUAUAAAUCCGGAAAGUCAUGCUCGGGGAAGAUACCAUGUCUUGGGGCUUAAGCUCAGACCCUAUUGACACCUCCUCCACUCUGCUGCACUUACAGGCCUGGACUUUCCGAAUCGCUUUUCUGGAAAUCUUUUGAAAGGGAGACUCACAAAAUAUAAUCCGUACUGAGUAGCCUUUGAGUCGUAUUCCUGAGUUGGUUCGAUUGUGGGCCAGCAGAGAGACUAGAGGCCGGCCGGCCGCCACGCUUGAUUAACCGUGUCCACUAGAGGGCGCUCCAGUGUCCCCCUUCAGUACCAAAGUGGCCACUCCAGUCCCUUGCAGGUGACCUAGAACUCCCACAUUCCUGAAGAAUUACGUUCAGGACUCUAAGCACAGCAUGCCACCUCUUCAGACUAUACACAGUCACGCAAAAAUCCACCCAAAAGCGUUGUCUUCCAAAAAACUCCGCAAGGCUGGUCCCCAACUUCCUUUUCCUUUAGAGAGGACAGGUUAGGGUGGUGGAUGCUGCUGCACCUGGCCUGGGGCAUUAGGUAAUGCUUUGUUUUCCUGUUUUCUGUGAGUUGAAAGAGUCAGGUGGUUGUGGGGCUGCUGAGAUGGCUCGCUGGAAACAAGUGUUUGCAGGGCAAGCCUGUGGACUGGAGUUCCAAGCCCCGCCCCCAGGUAAAAAGCAGAGCACGUCUGUGGUCUCCUUUAACUCCUGGAGGGAAGAUCUGGUAGAUAGAUCCCAGGAGCUCACUGGCCAGCCAGCCAAGCAGAAACAAAUGUGCUCUGGGGGCUCAAGAAAGUGAAGCAGAGAGAGAGAGGAAGACAACUGCCCUCCAUACAUACGUGUGCAUCAUGGGAUGCACACUAUACAUACAACACCACACACACACACACACACACACACACACACACACACACACACACACGGUUCUGCCGCCUGUGGGCAAGAAAAAAGUCGACUGUUAUUUGAAAAGAGAUUUUUUUUUUCUGUUAUCAAAUUAGUCUAAAGAUUCAUGAUUUAUAAUUUAAAGGAAACUUAAAUUCCUCAUUCUGUAGAACAACCACCAAACAAGAUGUGCCUGUGCCUGGUUGGUCCCUUUGCCCUCAGAUGUAGACCUUUCCUCAGCCCCCCAUGUGGAAGUGAUGAACCAGACUGCCUCCAUCUUAGGCUUUAAAGCCAUCUUAUAGUAAAGACAAAUUAGGUUCGUUCCUGUUUGUGAUUAAAUCUGUUUCUCAAGGAUCAGGAACCCUAUGCUCCACCUGUAACCUUAACUACAAAAAGUCCUGUACUGCCUGUUCCAGGAAACAGCAACCAUGACUUUGUUUCAGAAAGUUGUUAUAACUGGGGGUUGGGGAUUUAGCUCAGCGGUAGAGCACUUGCCUAGCAAGUGCAAGGCCCUGGGUUCAGUCCUCAGCUGGGGGCUGGGGGGAGGUAAAGUUGUUAUAACUGGCUUGCAACCCUACUCUUGUUUCAAAAGCUUGUUUAUGACCACCUGUUGUUACGAUCACCUUGCAAUCAUGUUUUGUUUCAGGAGGUCGUUAGGACUAACUUGUUAUGUUCUGCUCCUGUAACCCAGCCUGUUUUGCACACCAAACCCCCCAUUUGGAAACCCCCUACUCCUGAGCCAUGAAAACCCUGUCUUCCUCUCAUCUGACGCUGACCUCUUGAACCCUGCCUUAGGGGGAAGGCACUCGGUGUGCACAAAUAAAAAGCUUGCUUUA